UUUUCUCCAGAGGACAUCAUUUCUUCAGUGACGAAAGGGUUUAUUGAUUCUGAUGGAGAAGAGGAGCUGGAAGAUGUUGGUCGACAGUACUUUGAUGAAUUAGUGUCAUCCGCAUUUCUAGAGGAACAACCUCCGACGAAUUACUUUGCAAUUCCUGAUCUGGUGCAUGAUUUAGCAGUGCAGGUCGCAGGAGGAGCUCUUAUGCAAGAUGUUCGGCACCUUUUUAUUGAGGCUGACGGUGCUGAAAAUAUCGGAAUGAUCUUAGAAUUAACAGAACUGCAAACUCUGAUAAUAACUUAUACUGGACCAUGUAGGGAAAUGUUGGUCGAGGAAAUAUUUGAAAGUGUGUUCACGAGGCUGCCUAAUUUGCGGGUACUGAUACUGAAAGUAGAAAACAUGCAUCGGCCCUGGGGUAAGACUAUUUUCAUCCCGGAAUCUAUUGGUAGGUUAAAACUUCUGCGUUAUUUUGCUUUCGUGGGGUGCCAAAGGUCUACGGUGUUAAAAUGGCCAAGCACAUUUGUGCAGCUUUACCAUUUGGAGGUGCUAGAUGUUGGACGUUCAACUGACUUGUUAUUCUUCUCCUGCAAUGAUUUGAGUAAACUCAUCAAGUUGAGGCAUGUAAUUGCCGAUGGGAAAGAUAGUGAUUGGGCAUACAUUGGCAAGCUGGAGUCACUCCGAACAUUUGAACAUUUCACUGUAAAGAAGGGAGAGGGGUAUGAGCUAUGUCAGCUGAAGCAACUGAACAAGCUUCGUGGCAAACUAUCUAUUUAUGGUCUUGAAAAUGUUUCCAGCCAAGAGGAUGCUCUUGAUGCUGAACUGCAUAGAAAGGAAAACCUCAAAGAAGUGAAACUGACAUGGGAUGGGAAAAGGGAGACUAGCGACGAGGAAUGA
rnacentral:lncRNA from 1 species